rnacentral:rRNA from 1 species
GACGAACGCUGGCGGCAGGCCUAACACAUGCAAGUCGAACGAGUGGCGGACGGGUGAGUAAUGUCUGGGAAACUGCCCGCUGGAGGGGGAUAACUACUGGAAACGGUAGCUAAUACCGCAUACCAUCGGAUGUGCCCAGAUGGGAUUAGCUAGUAGGUGGGGUAAUGGCCUACCUAGGCAACGAUACAUAGCCGACCUGAGAGGGUGAUCGGCCACACUGGGACUGAGACACGGCCCAGACUCCUACGGGAGGCAGCAGUGGGGAAUAUUGCACAAUGGGCGCAAGCCUGAUGCAGCCAUGCCGCGUGUAUGAAGAAGGCCUUCGGGUUGUAAAGUACUUUCAGCGAGGAGGCGUUACUCGCAGAAGAAGCACCGGCUAACUCCGUGCCAGCAGCCGCGGUAAUUC